CAGGGGCGCGGGUCGGUGGCUGAUCAGGAUCAGGCCCUGGCCGGUGCGCUGCAGGCGCAGGGCCAGCCGGUCCAGCACCAGCGCCUCCGU
rnacentral:tRNA from 1 species